rnacentral:rRNA from 1 species
UACGAAGGGGGCUAGCGUUGCUCGGAUUGACUGGGCGUAAAGGGCGCGUAGGCGGUUUGUACAGUCAGACGUGAAAUUCCUGGGCUCAACCUGGGGGCUGCGUUUGAUACGUAUGGACUUGAGUUCGGAAGAGGGUCGUGGAAUUCCCAGUGUAGCGGUGAAAUGCGUAGAUAUCUGGAGGAACACCGGUGGCGAAGGCGGCAUCCUGGACCGACACUGACGCUGAGGAGCGAAAGCCAGGGGAGCAAACGGG